CAGUCGCCACGGUAAUACGUAGGGUGCAAGCGUUAAUCGGAAUUACUGGGCGUAAAGCGUGCGCAGGCGGUUUGUUAAGUCAGAUGCGAAAUCCCCGGGCUCAACCUGGGAACUGCAUUUGAGACUGUAUGGCUAGAGUGUGUCAGAGGGGGGUAGAAUUCCACGUGUAGCAGUGAAAUGCGUAGAUAUGUGGAGGAAUACCGAUGGCGAAGGCAGCCCCCUGGGAUAACACUGACGCUCAUGCACGAAAGCGUGGGGAGCAAACAGGAUUAGAUACCCGAGUAGUCCCUGUCUCUUAUAA
rnacentral:rRNA from 1 species